UCCGGCCUACGGGGGGCAGCAGUGGGGGAUAUUGCACAAUGGGGGGAACCCUGAUGCAGCGACGCCGCGUGUGGGAAGACGGUCCUCUGGAUUGUAAACCACUGUCCCCAGGGACGAAAAUGACGGUACCUGGGGAGGAAGCUCCGGCUAACUACGUGCCAGCAGCCACGGUAAUACGUAGGGAGCGAGCGUUGUCCGGAAUUACUGGGUGUAAAGGAAGCGUAGGCGGGGAUGCAAGUUGGGUGUCAAAACUACCGGCUCAACUGGCAGUCGCACUCAAAACUGCAGCUCU
rnacentral:rRNA from 1 species